UACGUAGGGGGCAAGCGUUAUUCGGAUUUACUGGGUGUAAAGGGAGCGUAGACGGCAGGGCAAGUCUGGAGUGAAAGGCGGGGGCUCAACCCCCGGACUGCUCUGGAAACUGCCAGGCUGGAGUGCAGGAGAGGUAAGUGGAAUUCCUAGUGUAGCGGUGAAAUGCGUAGAUAUUAGGAGGAACACCAGUGGCGAAGGCGGCUUACUGGACUGUAACUGACGUUGAGGCUCGAAAGCGUGGGGAGCAAACAGG
rnacentral:rRNA from 1 species